GGGACCACCAAGCAGGCAGACAAGGGCUCUCAUCCUGGAGAGGAGAAGUGAUGUCUCUAUUAACUUGGUUGUCUGCAACUCUCCAAUCAGCAAUGACCCAGGAAAUCACAAACUCUCCAUUAAUGGCUUUGGUACUGAUGAUUUAUAGCUCCACAAUGACUCAUGUUCCAGCAGAAAAGUAUUUUCAACUCAGCUCCUUUUGAAAACCCAUCAAUUAUUAUGAUAGUCCCAGUGCAUCCUAAGGACAUUUAAUUAGUGCAAACACAGUUUAUUCAACCAGGAACAGAGUUCCUUUCUCAUCAGAAAACAACACAAGAUAUCUCAUAUCUGCCCUCCUGGGAAGCAAUUUCAAAUAUUUGUGAGGUAAGAAAUAAUCAUUCCAGGCUGAUGUUUUAACUGCAUUUUGAGCUGCUAGACUUUGCCUCCUGCCUGCCUGUUUCAGCUUUUCCUUCCUUGCUGCCAAGCCCUGCUUCCAUGCCAUCUAGUCUAGCCUGGCCAUUUGCCACUUCUCCUUCCACCCUCUGCAGCCUGGUGAAGGGAC